rnacentral:lncRNA from 1 species
GGCAGGAAUGCAGCAACAUCACCCAAGUUCUGUAUAACCAGCCUAUUAACAUGCCAGUGGCCUCCAAGCGCCAUGACUUGCAAUUCCGGGAUAAAAUAAGGCUGCAAUCAGUGGAUAGAAAAUGAGAGCUCUUCUGAGAAUUUAACAGUGCCUUCCACCGUCUGAUGAGGAAGAACAUCUGCCGCCUGGGCUCCAGAGGUCUGCGCCCUGCUUCAGGGGAAGGUGGCGUGGUGUCUUCUCCAGCUUAUCAGGUGGUAAAAGUAGGAAGGAGAGUUGAUGAAACUCGUGCUCCAGCUGGGAUCCUGCCUCCAGACUUCGGGAAACUGUGCUUCCAGUAGAGGAUACUACAGACUGGUGGCUCGCUCCCUUGUUGGAGGAAGAGCAGCCUCGAGCCUCCAGGCAGCAAGAAAGCAAGGUCUUCAGUCAAGCAUCCGGCAAAGAACAGAAUUCCGCCAACAACUGCAAGCACCUGGAGGCAGACCCUUCCCCAGUCCAGCCUCAGGUGAGAACUCAUCCCAGUGAACCUUGGUUGUAGCUUUGCAUGGUACCCAGCUAAGCUGUGCCUGGAUUCCAGACCCACAGAAACUGUGAGAUGAUAAGUCUGUGUUGCUCAAAGCUGCCGAGUUUGUGGUAAUAUUAUUAUGCAGAAAUAGAUAACUAACAGGCCUUCCCUUCGCUUUUCUCUCCCUUACUAAGCCCUUUCACUUUCACAGUUCCAUUUAAACUUUGAGCCAUGUCUGUACCCUUUGACCUUAUAGCCCUUUGACCCCAGCACUCCAGUAUGACUCUAGGGAAUAUUUCGGCCACCUUCCACACAUACUCUUGCGACCCAAGAUGGUUUGAGCCCCACCACGUUGGCCAAGUCUGGUUCUUAGGCCAAGUUCUCUGUUCAGGUGGCUGUGAGUAAUCUCCCGUACUCACUGGGUAGCUGGCCAUCAGAGAAGUCUAAAAAUAUGGUGCCCAACUUCCUUCUGUCUGCUGGGUGGCUCAGCUGACAAAUCCGGUACCCCAAUGAUGUCUCUGAAGAUGACACGUUCCCGAGGCCCCAGGGUCUGAAGGCCUGAAUCCUGGAAGAAAGUUAGCUGAUACACAAAGCACGUCCUUUCGCCAUGUGGUUGAAAAUGUCUCCACCAUGGGGCUAUUUGACUAGAGGACUCGGCAGAGACGCAAGCAGCUUUCAAAUACAGAGUGAGGACUGAAACUCACGCGCGUGGCAGAUGCUGUGGUGGGCCAGGUGCUGAAGUAGGCGUUUUGCACACAUUUUCAUUUAAUUUAACCUGAGAUAGAAUAAGAAAUGCAGUGUGGGGAUGUAUGUGCUAUCACCAGCGAGCGACGGUAAGUGCUCAUCAGAGCUGCUGGUAGAUUUACACGCUGGUCACCGGACUGGGUGUUUUACACACAUUACUUCAUUUAAAUCUAACAACAGGCGAAUGCGGUAGGAUCAAUGGCUUCCUUUCUUUCUUUUUGGUAGGGUGAAACUGGGCUUAGAAGUGUGGCCAUAUGCCUGAGGGCGUUGGAGGUG